UGCCGAUGUAAUUCUGGAGUGUCAUGCCUAUAACAAAGCAUUCAUUCGCAAUUUAAAUAAGUUGGCAUACUAUACAUUCUUUACCUUAAUUUUCUAUGGGGCUUUUAGCUUUUCCAAAUUCUUGGUGGUUGCAAGAUAGAAUAGUUGUAACAGACUCACCGAUCAUUCAUCUUUUGAUAGACUAUCAAUCCGGAGGUUUUUUUAUAAGUUUUGCAAAAUGAAUGAGUUCCUCGAAUGAUUCUCUCAAUCGCUCAAUGUGUAUGAAAUCCUUAGCAAAGGCAUUAUGUGAUUGCCUUUAAACCUUACGGCACUUGUAUUGCUGAGUCAAAGCCCGAACCAUGAGGAGAUACAAAUCAUACACCUUGAUUGAGAUGUGCAAGUGUGUGGAGUAUGAGG
rnacentral:lncRNA from 1 species